rnacentral:tRNA from 1 species
GUGGUAGGAGCCUGGGUAGGCGUUAGCCUUGUAAGCUGAAGAGGAAGGGUUUACAUCCUUCUUACCACU